rnacentral:rRNA from 1 species
AUGAACCACACACCUCCACACAAUGAGGAAGAUGCUGGCAACAAGAGGAAGCUGGACAUCGCUAGGUUCGACGACCCGUCUGAUUCUGACGACGACGAGGAGUACAACUCUGGAGAUGAGGUGGAAGAGUGGAACCACAAGUCCUUCAUUGAGCAUGAAGCCAACAAGAUCAGGGAGAAGGGGAAGGCGGCGUACUACAAGUGGGGCAAGUUCAGGUGCCCAUACUGCACCACUAAGCCAAUUCCCAAGGAUGGGCUGUAUGAGCACCUUAUGUCGCAUGCACGCGGUUUAGCGAAGAGUGGGAGCGAUGUGAAGAUCAGGGCAGAGCAUGCAGCCCUCCUGAAGGCUGUGGGUCCCAUCUAG